AGCUCCACCCCACACCUAUCGUCUUCAACCCAUGACGACCGGCGCCCCCGAUCCAGCCCUGCUUCCCGCCGACACCCGAGCCCCCUCUCACCAGCUCGCGGCCGCCACGACGAGCUCCCUCCCCACCAGGCAUCGCUGUCGCGACGAGCCCCCUCCCACAACCGCGCCGCCGCCCACCUCGAGCCCCCUUCCACCGCCGCACCGCCGCCGCGACGAGCCCCUUCCCACCAUCGCGCUGUCGCCCGCCCCGAGCCCCUUCCAAGCAGCGCCCCGUCGCCGGCCCCUAGCCCCAUCCUAACAGCGCCCCGCCGCCGCCCCGAUCCCCCUUCCACCAGUGUGUCGGCGUCGCCUCUGCUUCCAUGGCCACGGCACCGAUUUCCCCUCCACCGCCGCCCUGAUUCACCACCUCCGGACUGCUUCCCCUCCCACCUUGGACCUCCCACCUCCCUGGACCAGCUCUGGCCGUCCUCGAGUUCGCCUCCUCUCUCUCUGGUAAUCGACGAAUCUAUUUAUGAGCAUAUUAGUUUGUCAUUUCAUCACAUCGUCAGUUCGCCACGGCCACCGCCUCUCCAUCCACGCAACCUCACCACGGCCAGUACACAACCACCACCCCUGUCUGUUCACAGCAACCAUCCCUGUCCGUUCACCUGUACAAGAUGUCGAUGCCGAGCAUGCCGCCCUGCCCGACCAUGGCUCCUUGUCUCCACUACGGGAUCCCGGCCCGACAGGCUCCCCGGAGCGUGUCUCGCCAGGUCGCCUCCUGGUAGGAUCCGCUGCCUCGGUUUCAUCAACCGUCGUCGCCUCUCCACCAUGUCUCCUCCCCCAACCCCUAUCCAGUUCCAGCGACCUCCACCAGGUGUGCGUCGGUCUCGCCGUCCCAUGUGGAAAAUAUGGUGGCUUUCAGCAAGUAAUCUUUCUCUAACGGGGAUCCGAUGCUUGCGCCACCGAGAGCCUGAUCCUGCUUGUUGCAUGCUCACGGUGACCACAAGCAUUGUAAGAAAAAAGCUUUGGUGUUCUUGUUUUGUUCAAAUGUUGUGUGCAGAAUGUUUUAAAAAAAUCCUAAAAUUUGAGUGUCUUUUACUUCUUUGUGGUAAUGUGGACAUGUCGAAAGCAGCCCACGCGUGCCGCCACCACCAUCGUUUGCUGCCCCUCGGCACGCACAGUCGUGGUCGAGCUUUAGUUUCAGUGCAAUUCUUAUUUUAGUUCUCAGAAUGCUAGAAAUGCAGGAUAUUUGUGUGAAUCUUGCUUGUUUCAGAGAGAAAAAGAGUUGGUACUUGCAUCACAUGGUGUACUGAACAAACAUACGCAUGCACAUAAACAUGCUAACAACUCCUCUUGCUAUACACAUGCUUGUACUUGUUUAUUUUUCUUGUUUGGAAAAUGGUUUCCUUUCCUCCUAACAGCUUUUCUCAAAUUUCAUUUAAUUUAGUUUCAAAUCAAACCAGAGCUAAUGCAUAAAUGUCAUUGGGUGAGGUUGCUAGGAAGAUUUGCAUUAGAGAAUGCUUUGUUGGAAAAGCUUCUAUUAGUAUUAUUAACAACAAAACUCUCGGUGGACAUAGACCGUAAAUCUUGAGACUAUUUUCGCCAUUUUUUGCCCUUUAGUGUUUGGAAAUUCUAAACUUUGUUGAUUUCAACUUGAUGAAUACAAAGAUAUAUGCCAUGAGUUUUAGAUUAUAUCUCUGCUGUUGUAAUUGCUUGUUGGUGUUUAUUAGUAGAUAUACAUGUAUGAGUUCGCUCCUGACUAUUGUAAUAAAGUUUUUUAGGAUUUGGAAGUAUCUAGUCUGGAUUGGCAGUGUACAUACAUAAAAAUUAAUCCCUGAUGGAUAUUUAGGAAUCACUAUUUUUCUGAACAGGGUAAGAUGAUUCAAUAUGGAGUACAGUUGUUGUUGAAUAUGACUUGUGUACUUGCUAGACAAUAGUGUAUGAACUUUUCCGAUGCAUAUAGCAAGCCGAGAAAAAAAGAGGACUUGUACAACGCUUCUCCAGGUUGUCUGCUACGACACUCUCUCACAAUAAUCUCUCUAUUUCUCUGCUUCUGCUAUUAAAAUCCUUACAUGUGUUGUUCUGCUGAUUGAGUACUUUGGGAAGAUGCGAAAAGAACAUGUUUAGAUGGUUGCUUUUCAUGUGUAUCUGUCACUAUUCCUGUGAGUACCAAUUUUUUUAAAUGUUUAUUUUGUGCUCCCGCGUAUGUAUUUGGGCAGUACAAACACAUCAUUAUAGUGGGUAUAGAUGCGGCACCAUGGGCAGUACAAAGACAUCGUCAUAGUGAGUACACAUGUGGGCAUGUGGCACCUUGGGAAGUACAAACACAUCGUCAUAGUGAGUACAGAUGUUAUGCAGUAUGCAUCUUUUUAAUACAAAAUUUUUAAAAGUUUCUUUCUGAACUUCUCCCAAUUAAUAUGCAUGAACUUGAUUAUCUUUUUAACAUGUACUUGUAUCAGCUUCUUAGAUUUUGUGUGUGUGCUUGUAACACAAUCAGUUCAGAUCUCGAGAGACCACAAGUUCAAGUUCACUAGCAUCUAUAAAUGCUGGUAGCACUACUAGUGUUUACAAAUUUGUACCUAAGAACUAAGCUUGCAUGUUGUUACUUCUAUGGAGGCACUGACCACAUAAUUUUUUUGGACCAACCACUGACCUGAGAAUUUGACAAGGUGCUCAUUGUAUUCUCUCAGUCUUGAUUGUCUUGCAGUGCUUAUAAGCUUGACAUCUUUGAUGAAUCUAGCCCGAACCGAAGCUUGUUGGCGAGCCGGGCGGUGGGCCAACCACAAGGCAAUGCCGCCGGCAGGGCGCUAGACGGCCGCCGAGCGCGGCAUGAGCCUUUUUGACCCCAUUUCCAGGUUCAGCGCCAAUGAUCUUGCCAUGGGGUUCGCGAAGGUGCUAGCUAGCCUUUGCUUCCAUUUUCUUCAAAAGCUCUGCUAACCCAUUAGCCACUGAUAAGAUGACUUCGCUUCCAAGUAGCCGCUCAAAGUAGUGGUCAUUUAAUGAAAAUGUUUCCUAUAAAACCAGUUUCUAAUGUUUACAUGUACAGGCAUAAUAUGCAGUAUGCUGUUCCAUUUUUGAUUGAAUUGAAACCACUUAAAAUGCAAAGACUUAUGAUAGUCACUGAAUCAGUAGUACCAUCCAUUUUGUUCGCAUAGAGACAAACCCGUACAGAUACUUAUGAGGCACCAGAUAUUCCAUUUUCUUGUGCAGUUGUGGCUCCACGUUGUUGACCUCCCAGAAGAACCUUCACUAUGCCCUGAAUUUUACUAGCUCAAGUGUCAUGCUAUUUCCUAUUUGCCUUUGUGUCACAAUUACUUUGUUACAUUAGAUUAGAGAAGGUAUUACAUAUAUCCUAGGAGUAUGUUGUUCUUUUGUAUAUUGAACUGAAAACCAGUUAGUGCAAAAGUCUAGAACUACAACCAUCAAAGAAGUGCCAGUAUCUUCAUUUUGUUAGAAAUAUAUGCAUUUUUGUCUAUAUAAAGGACAACAAAAAUAUGUGUUGUAUGUUAAAAGAACCUGAGAUGUUCAGGAAAGAGUUUCAAAAUAAAAAGGUUCUAGCAGGCCAUAUAUUGAAUCUGAGAAAGUUCGGAGAUGAACAAUAAAUAAGUAUAAUAACAACAAAGAAAAAAUUACUGAUUGGUUUACUCUAAGUUUCCACUGUUUAAGUUCAGCUCAAUUUCUAAUUUAAGUUCAGUUCAUAGGAGUGCUUGUAAUCAAUUAGUUUGGUCUAACUUAUGUUCCAUGAAUUUCUAGUACCCUAAUAGACUUGGUAGUGACAUGAGCUCCCUCUCCACCACUCCAGGAUUUGCAGCGCUGUCCUAGUCCAGCCCCAUGGCAUACAUUAACUUAGUUGUUAUAGCAAAAACAGUACAGAACUCUAUUUAUUUUUAUUUUUGAACAUAUGAUGUUACUAUACAUUAACUUGGUUGUUCUUAUUACAUGGACUUGUACAUUGCCUUCUCAGGUUGUGCGUCUACUACCCAAAAGUCCGCAAUACUUCAACGGAAAAUGUCUACAUCAGUUAUAACUCAAAAAGACCAUAAGUUCGGAGGAAGAAAAAGAUCACCGGCACUUUUGGUCCACACAGGCCGUCAGAGGAAGAAAAUUGUUUCUUCAUUUUGUUCAGGUUGCUCUAGGAUUUGUCAAUGUUCUGGAGGGAAGUAAUUAACUUGGGGUUUGGAGUCGUACCUACUGUGUCACCAAAUAUGUGUUGAAUAGUUCUAUUCAUCUCCAUACAUAAGUUCAAAGAUUUCAGAUUUUCCCUAGUGGUUGUUGAUCGGAGAGAUGUGUAUUGAUGUACCUUUCCUGCUGGAUCCUUCUUUUAAAUAAAUGUUUGCUAUUUUUUUUAUA